rnacentral:rRNA from 1 species
UAGGGAAUCUUCGGCAAUGGACGAAAGUCUGACCGAGCAACGCCGCGUGAGUGAAGAAGGUUUUCGGAUCGUAAAACUCUGUUGUUAGAGAAGAACAAGGACGUUAGUAACUGAACGUCCCUUGACGGUAUCUAACCAGAAAGCCACGGCUAACUACGUGCCAGCAGCCGCGGUAAUACGUAGGUGGCAAGCGUUGUCCGGAUUUAUUGGGCGUAAAGCGAGCGCAGGCGGUUUCUUAAGUCUGAUGUGAAAGCCCCCGGCUCAACCGGGGAGGGUCAUUGGAGACUGGGAGACUUGAGUGCAGAAGAGGAGAGUGGAAUUCCAUGUGUAGCGGUGAAAUGCGUAGAUAUAUGGAGGAACACCAGUGGCGAAGGCGGCUCUCUGGUCUGUAACUGACGCUGAGGCUCGAAAGCGUGGGGAGCAAACAGG